rnacentral:rRNA from 1 species
UACGUAGGGUGCGAGCGUUAAUCGGAAUUACUGGGCGUAAAGCGUGCGCAGGCGGUUUUGUAAGUCUGACGUGAAAUCCCCGGGCUUAACCUGGGAAUUGCGUUGGAGACUGCAAGGCUGGAGUCUGGCAGAGGGGGGUAGAAUUCCACGUGUAGCAGUGAAAUGCGUAGAGAUGUGGAGGAACACCGAUGGCGAAGGCAGCCCCCUGGGCUGAGAUUGACGCUCAGGCACGAAAGCGUGGGGAGCAAACAGG